UCUCAAGUCCCUUUACACUAUACUAAGGUUCCAAAACACUUAUAACCCAUUGUAACUUGUUCCACUCCGCGUUCCGUUCAUUUCGACGGAACUCGGCACGUUCUACAGGGAUGCGAUAUGUUACAGUGAAUGACAGGCCAAGCAAGGGAUUGCUGGUGAUCUUAAGCUGUGUAUGUGUUUAGGACUGACAAGGAUGUUAGGGUCUUGACUAGCUUAAGCAUUUUGGGCUGGUGGUUGGGCUCAAUGAGUUAUUAUUACUAGCGGGUCGGGUCAUUACAUAACUAUCCACUAUUCUUCUUAUUCCAUCUUAUCUAUCCAAAUACUAUUUCUCUUAUUCCUGGAAAUAACUUAAUUUUCAUCCAAACGCAAAAUUGAUCUAAUCCAGGCUUAUACCUCAACUUAUAGUUAUCCUUGAAAUAGAUUGCUCUUCCUUAUACCCGAACGAAAUGAAGACGAGUCCGGCUAUGAUGCUUGUAAAAGUGUCAAACAAUUAAUUGGUGCUUGUAAGUUUUUCGCUGUUAGAUUUAUUUCUUUAACUAUUUUCAUCCGAUAGAUUAUAUUGUUCAACCAACUAUCCAUUCAAAUAUAAAAGACUAUUAUUAUUCUAAUUGCACAUGACUUAAUUUAAGAGUCGAAAACUUCCAAGUAUCAAUGAUUUGAUACUUUUUAUAAGCAUAGAAGAAUGAUUAUAUAUAUAUAUAUAUAUAUAUAUAUAUAUAUAUAUGUAUAUAUAUAUAUAUAUAUAUAUAUAGAGUUGAGCUAGGAUACUAUCGAUAGCAAAUAGGUUCCGCUGCCACCAAUUUGUUUUCGAUGAUGGAGCCUCCAAAUCGACGAUCGGCACCGUUGAACAUGAUCUAUACCACUUGAAGUGUUUAGAAAUCAAAUUUCGUACAUUUUCGAUAUUGUUCUCUUAUCCAUCGAGUGGACACAAAAAUAAACGGCUGAAAAUGAAUAUUCUUUAAAAAAUAAUGAUAGGAGUCUUGUAAUCAAGAUCAAGAGUAUAGAUCUUGUUUUAAAUAGUUUAAAAAAUUUUCUAACAAAAAUUCAAUUGAUUUGGAUAUCUUUACGCCUUUAAGCUAGAAAACGUCUCAUAUCGACCAUUAAAAUUACAAAAUUUGAAACCAUUUGAUCAUUAGGCAAAUGAUGUCAAAAAGAUUUGAAAUUUGAUUUCUAAACACUUCAAGUGGUAUAGAUCAUGUUCAAUGGUGCCGAUCGUCGAUUCGGAGGCUUCAUCAUCGAAAAUAAAUGGGUGGCAACGGAGCCCGUUUGCUANUAUAAAGAAAAUUAUGGACCAAAUAUAUAUAUAUAUAUAUAUAUAUAUAUAUAUAUAUAUAUAUAUAUAUAUAUAAUUGAGCUAGAACACUUUUAGAAGUAUCACCCCUUGGUACUUCUAGAUUUCUUGCUCUUGGAUCUACUCCUUGAUUACUAAUAGUUCUUGGAUCAAAUACUAUUACACCUAUCACCACCUACCACCAUCAUCCGAAUCUUACAUUUCUUCAUCCAAUGGUUAAAAACUCUUUUAAUACUUUUGAGAGUAUUCUAGCUCAACUCUAUAUAUAUGGCAUAAAAUAAUAAGUUUGUUACAUGCUCUUUUAUGGU
rnacentral:lncRNA from 1 species